GCAAGUCGAGCGGUAACAGAGAUAGCUUGCUAUCUGCUGACGAGCGGCGGACGGGUGAGUAAUAUGUAGGAAUCUGCCUAUUGGAGGGGGACAACGUUGGGAAACUAACGCUAAUACCGCGUAAUACCUACGGGUUAAAGGUGGCUUCGGCUGCCGCCAAUAGAUGAGCCUACAUGAGAUUAGCUAGUUGGUGGGGUAAAGGCCUACCAAGGCGACGAUCUCUAGCUGUUCUGAGAGGAAGAUC
rnacentral:rRNA from 1 species